AAUGAACGUUGGCGGCAUGGAUUAGGCAUGCAAGUCGCGCGAUAAGAUUCCUUCGGGAAUCCGAAAGCGGCGAAAGGGAGAGUAACGCGUAGAUGAUCUACCCCGAGGACUGGGAUAGCGGCGGGAAACUGCCGGUAAUACCAGAUGAUGUCUCCGGACCAAAGGUGUGAUUCCGCCUUGGGAUGAAUCUGCGUCCUAUUAGCUAGUUGGUGAGGUAACGGCUCACCAAGGCGAAGAUGGGUACCGGGUGUGAGAGCAUGACCCGGCUCACUGGGACUGAGACACUGCCCAGACACCUACGGGUGGCUGCAGUCGAGAAUCUUCGGCAAUGGGCGAAAGCCUGACCGAGCAAUGCCGCGUGCGGGAUGAAGGCCUUCGGUGUAAACCGC
rnacentral:rRNA from 1 species